GAUGAACGCUGGCGGCGUGCCUAAUACAUGCAAGUCGAGCGAACAGACCAGGAGCUUUCUCCUCUGACUUUAUCGGCUGACGUGUGAUUAACACGUGUAUAACCUACCUAUAAUACUGGGAUAACUUCGGCAAACCGUAUCUAAUCCCGUAUAAUUUAUUUAACCUCAUUGUUCAAUAGUUAAAUUCGGUUUUUCUUUCACUUAUAGAUUCAUCCGCCCCGCAUUAGCUAGUUGUGAAGGUAACGGCUUACCAAGGCAACGAGUCGUAACCGACCUGAGAGGGAGAUCGGCAAAACUGGAAGGGAGAAACGGUACAGACACCUACGGGAGGAAGAAGUAGGGAAUCUUACGCAAUGGGCGAAAGCAGGACGGAGCAAAACGGGGUGAGGGAUGAAGGAGUAAGGAUGGGAAAAAUAUGUUAGUAGGGAGGAAGAAAAGUGUAAGUAACUAUGAAGGUAAUGACGGUACCUAAUAAGAAAGCCACGGCUAACUACGUG
rnacentral:rRNA from 1 species